rnacentral:rRNA from 1 species
ACGCUUGACACCUACUGGAGGCAGCAGUGGGGAAUAUUGCACAAUGGGGGAAACCCUGAUGCAGCGACGCCGCGUGGAGGAAGAAGGUCUUCGGAUUGUAAACUCCUGUUGUUGGGGAAAAAGAGGAUGGUACCCAACAAGGAAGUGACGGCUAACUACGUGCCANNCGCCGGUAGUAUNGNGGCGNGNGAGAG